rnacentral:rRNA from 1 species
AUGGGAUCGAUUGGCAACAGGAUAGCCGAGGUUGGUAUGCGGUUCAGAAAUUCGGAUGAGGCUUGGGAGUUCUUGGUGCAAUAUAGAGGUCACAUCGGCUUUGAUGUGAGGAAAAGAAAUACCAUCAAAAGCAGAACUGAUGGAACAAUCACUUCAUGUAGGUUUGUUUGUUCCAAUGAAGCAUUCGAAGGAAAAGUCAAAUAG